UCCUACGGAGGCAGCAGUGGGGAAUAUUGGACAAUGGGCGAAAGCCUGAUCCAGCAAUGCCGCGUGAGUGAUGAAGGCCCUAGGGUUGUAAAGCUCUUUUACCCGGGAAGAUAAUGACUGUACCGGGAGAAUAAGCCCCGGCUAACUCCGUGCCAGCAGCCGCGGUAAUA
rnacentral:rRNA from 1 species